UACAGAGGGUGCAAGCGUUGUUCGGAAUUAUUGGGCGUAAAGGGCGCGUAGGCGGUGCCACAAGUCACCUGUGAAAUCUCCGGGCUUAACUCGGAGCCUGCAGGCGAAACUGUGGUGCUGGAGUGUGGGAGAGGUGCGUGGAAUUCCCGGUGUAGCGGUGAAAUGCGUAGAUAUAUGGAAGAACACCAAUAACGGCGAAGGCAAUUAACUAUUCUGCUACUGACAUUGAGGCACGAAAGCGUGGGGAGCAAAACGG
rnacentral:rRNA from 1 species